GGGCAUUGAGUCUAGUGGUAUGAUUCUUGCUUUUGGUGUGAGAGGUCCCGAGUUCGAUUCUCGUAAUGCCCU
rfam:Morus notabilis contig20829, whole genome shotgun sequence.